rnacentral:rRNA from 1 species
UACGGAGGGUGCAAGCGUUAUCCGGAUUCACUGGGUUUAAAGGGCGCGUAGGUGGGUUGGUAAGUCAGUGGUGAAAUCCCCGAGCUUAACUUGGGAACUGCCAUUGAUACUAUCAGUCUUGAAUAUUGUGGAGGUCAGCGGAAUAUGUCAUGUAGCGGUGAAAUGCUUAGAUAUGACAUAGAACACCAAUUGCGAAGGCAGCUGGCUACGCAUAUAUUGACACUGAGGCUCGAAAGCGUGGGGAUCAAACAGG